rnacentral:rRNA from 1 species
AACGAACGCUGGCGGCAUGCCUAACACAUGCAAGUCGAACGAGACCUUCGGGUCUAGUGGCGCACGGGUGCGUAACACGUGGGAAUUUGCCUCGGGGUAUGGAAUAACUCAGGGAAACUUGAGCUAAUACCAUAUAAUGUCUUCGGACCAAAGAUUUAUCGCCCUGAGAUAAGCCCGCGUAGGAUUAGCUAGUUGGUGGGGUAAAGGCUCACCAAGGCGACGAUCCUUAGCUGGUCUGAGAGGAUGAUCAGCCACACUGGGACUGAGACACGGCCCAGACUCCUACGGGAGGCAGCAGUGGGGAAUAUUGGACAAU